rnacentral:rRNA from 1 species
UAGGGAAUCUUCCGCAAUGGGCGAAAGCCUGACGGAGCAACGCCGCGUGAGUGAUGAAGGUCUUCGGAUCGUAAAACUCUGUUAUUAGGGAAGAACAAAUGUGUAAGUAACUAUGCACGUCUUGACGGUACCUAAUCAGAAAGCCACGGCUAACUACGUGCCAGCAGCCGCGGUAAUACGUAGGUGGCAAGCGUUAUCCGGAAUUAUUGGGCGUAAAGCGCGCGUAGGCGGUUUUUUAAGUCUGAUGUGAAAUCCCACGGCUCAACCGUGGAGGGUCAUUGGAAACUGGAAAACUUGAGUGCAGAAGAGGAAAGUGGAAUUCCAUGUGUAGCGGUGAAAUGCGCAGAGAUAUGGAGGAACACCAGUGGCGAAGGCGACUUUCUGGUCUGUAACUGACGCUGAUGUGCGAAAGCGUGGGGAUCAAACAGG